AUGAAUGGGGAGCCACCCAAGGCCAGGACCCUGCCCCAGGCCAGGGGGGUCUGUGGACUUGCCUGGGCUGCAGGGGGCGUGGGGCUGGCCCCCUUCCUUCACGGGAGCUCCCUCCAGAAGGCAGGAGGCAAGGACAGGGGUGGGGUGGGAUGCAGGGGGAGAGUGGGGGGGGGGGGUCGGGGAGUGUGCUCCAGGCACCGGAGCCGAGACAGGCAUGGGUCCUGCUCCCUUCCAGAGCCCCGUGUCAGGGCACCAGCACCCGGGGCAAGGGCAGGAGGCUCUGUCCUGGGAGGGAGACUCAUGACUGAUUCCAUCCACCUCCCGGGUCCUCAGCAGGGGAGGUCAAUUUUUGCCUUCCCCAGAGGCGGUCCCGGUCUCCACCAGCCACCCCCUCCCGCCCCCAUUACGGGUCUAGAAGUAGCAAAGGGGUGUAGGGGAGGGAGUGUCCCCCUGAGCAUUUCUCGGUCGCCCCAGUUCCCCUCCCCAGCUCCCCCGGCGGCGGCGGCGGCAGUCCUGCCCAGAGCAGUGCGUGGUCUGGAAGUUUGGCUCAAGCCAUGCCCCCUCCCCUUGGUUCCCCAGCCCCAGCCCCUCGGACACCACUCAGCGGGGAAGAGCACCGCAGGGGCACGCCCUAAGGGUCCUGCCCCAAGGGUCCCACCCCGCCGCGCCGCCGGGACACUCCAGCUCUGGCCGCACCGGAUCUCCCCAGCACCCGCAGCGAGGGGAGGAGGAGGGAGGGGGGGCGUAGUCCCCCUUGGGAACUCAGCAGGGACUCGGGCCCUUGUCGCCGGUCUCCGCUCCCUGGCAGCCCCAGGACCCUCCCUCUGCGGGACCUGGGGUGCUGGUGGUACCACCAGAAGAGCUGGACCCUGGCGUGUUAAGCCUCCUUGCACCCCGGCCCCGAGGAACCCGAGAGAACGGUCGGGCGAGCAAAACCCAGGCAGGGGCAGAGAGGAGACCGGCCGCCGAGCUGGGCCUUCACACCACCUGCAAGGAGCCCCGGGGAGGGCAGUUCGGGGACGCGGCUGGGGACGCACAAGGCAGGACCGGCCAGAGUUGCUGGAGGGCAACCCGGGGCUCCUGGGCACCAGCCCUGAGCCUCCUGGCCCAAACGCGCCCCAAGGGGUGGGCUGCGUGUGGAAGCCCCGCCUGGGGGCUCCAUCCAUCAGUUCUCCAACCUGCCCUACAUAA
rnacentral:lncRNA from 1 species